rnacentral:rRNA from 1 species
AACUUUCAACAACGGAUCUCUUGGCUCUUGCAUCGAUGAAGAACGCAGCGAAAUGCGAUAAGUAAUGUGAAUUGCAGAAUUCAGUGAAUCAUCGAAUCUUUGAACGCACCUUGCGCCCCUUGGUAUUCCGAGGGGCAUGCCUGUUUGAGUGUCA